AAAAAAUUUAAUUUUAGUUUUAAAAUUAAAUAUUAUUAUUUAUUAAAUAUAAAUUUUAUUUAAGAGGAAAAAGUAGUAAUUAGAAUUAAUUAUUAAGGAAAUUUAGAAUUAGAAAAUAUAAUAGUAUUAACUUAAUUUGUGCCAGCAGUUGCGGUUAUACAAAUAAUACAAUUUAAUUUUAUUAAUAUUAAUUAAUUUUUAUAAAUUAAUUUUAUUUAAAAAUUUAUUAAGUGAAAUUUUAAAUUUUUAAAAAAUUAUUUUUUUAAAAUGAAGUUAAUAAAAUUUAGUAUUAAACUAGGAUUAGAUACCCUAUUAUUUAAAAGAUAUAUAAAAAUAUUGAAUGAUUAUAAGAUAUAUUCUUUAAAAUUAAAAAUUUUGGCGGUAUUUUAGUCUUUUCAGAGGAACCUGUUCUAUAAAUGAUAAUCCACGAUUUAAUUUACUUUUUUUUUUAAUUUAUAUAUCGUCGUAAUUAAAUAUUUUUAUAGAAUUUAAAUAUUUAAGAUUUUUAAUUUGAAUAUAAAUCAGAUCAAGAUUUAGUUUAUAAAAAAGUAGAAAUGGGUUACAUUAAAUAUAUUUUUAGAUUAAUUAUAUUAUUAUAAUUAUAAAAUUGGAUUUGAAAGUAAAUUUAAUUAAUUUAUUAAUUUGAUUUAGCUCUAAAAUAUGUACAUAUUGCCCGUCGCUUUCAUUUAAUGUGAAAUAAGUCGUAACAAAGUAGAUUUACUGGAAAGUGAAUCUAGAUUCAA
rnacentral:ncRNA from 1 species